UACGUAGGGUCCGAGCGUUAAUCGGAAUACUGGGCGUAAAGCGUGCGCAGGCGGUUCGCAAAGACAGGUGUGAAAUCCCCGGGCUUAACCUGGGAACUGCGCUUGUAACUAGCGGGCUAGAGUGCGGCAGAGGGGGGUGGAAUUCCGACGUGUAGCAGUGAAAUGCGUAGAUAUGUGGAGGAACACCGAUGGCGAAGGGCAGCCCCCCUGGGCUAGUACUGACGCUCAUGCACAAAAGCGUGGGGAGCAAACAGG
rnacentral:rRNA from 1 species